UACACAAAAAUGCACAUAUUGUGAGCUCGAUGAGUAGGGCGGGACACGUGGUAUCCUGUCUGAAUAUGGGGGGACCAUCCUCCAAGGCUAAAUACUCCUGACUGACCGAUAGUGAACCAGUACCGUGAGGGAAAGGCGAAAAGAACCCCGGCGAGGGGAGUGAAAAAGAACCUGAAACCGUGUACGUACAAGCAGUGGGAGCACGCUUAGGCGUGUGACUGCGUACCUUUUGUAUAAUGGGUCAGCGACUUAUAUUCUGUAGCAAGGUUAACCGAAUAGGGGAGCCGAAGGGAAACCGAGUCUUAACUGGGCGUUAAGUUGCAGGGUAUAGACCCGAAACCCGGUGAUCUAGCCAUGGGCAGGUUGAAGGUUGGGUAACACUAACUGGAGGACCGAACCGACUAAUGUUGAAAAAUUAGCGGAUGACUUGUGGCUGGGGGUGAAAGGCCAAUCAAACCGGGAGAUAGCUGGUUCUCCCCGAAAGCUAUUUAGGUAGCGCCUCGUGAAUUCAUCUCCGGGGGUAGAGCACUGUUUCGGCAAGGGGGUCAUCCCGACUUACCAACCCGAUGCAAACUGCGAAUACCGGAGAAUGUUAUCACGGGAGACACACGGCGGGUGCUAACGUCCGUCGUGAAGAGGGAAACAACCCAGACCGCCAGCUAAGGUCCCAAAGUCAUGGUUAAGUGGGAAACGAUGUGGGAAGGCCCAGACAGCCAGGAUGUUGGCUUAGAAGCAGCCAUCAUUUAAAGAAAGCGUAAUAGCUCACUGGUCGAGUCGGCCUGCGCGGAAGAUGUAACGGGGCUAAACCAUG
rnacentral:rRNA from 1 species